GGAGCUUUGCUGAAACUGCACAAAAAAUCGAGCCGGGGGGUUCCCUGGUCCCCGGCGAUGGGGCGGGGAGCGCUGCGCCGGGGGAGGGGGCGGGCGCGGCGGCGCGGGCCCCGCCGAGGGGGGACACCUGGCUGAGGCACAGCUGCCGCCGUGCCUUUCCGCGCGAGCCCAGAGCUCCGAUCCCUGCGCGGGCUCGAGAGCUCGCCCCGAACGGGGGUCUUCCUCCUCCGCCGUUGACAGGUUUUGACCUGUAGCAGAGAACCAAUUCUGGAGAACAGCCUCACUUCUUUGAUUGAAUACUUACAUAAUGCAUUGGAACAUGACAUGAGAUUAAGGUUUAAUAAUGAUAGAAUGAAGACCACAAUAAAAGAGACCUCUACUUAGCUCAGCAAUUCUUACCUUUCUUACCUAUUUGAUGAAGAUGUCUUUUGAAAGGUGUACUGCAAGGAACAAAAUGUUUGUAAAUUCUCCUUUUACCAAGGUGGAUAAUUACUGUACCUUCCUCAUGGAAAAAGUUUUAUUUAAAGUGUUAUUUCUCAUUGAAUACUAUCAAAAAGGAAAAAAAAAUGACCUAAACUUUUGAGAUAGAUUUGGCUCUAGGCCUACUCUAGGUGCGGUACUUCACUAUAGUUUAUAAAAGAUGGUCCCUGUCAGCAAAGAACUGUAACCUGUAUGAGAAUAUUAUACUAACAUACAAGAAACAAGUAGAGAAUAAUGGAAUGUAAACUCUGGCUUGCUAACUUAAGUGUGGUAGAAGCUUGAAGGAAAUGUGGACUUAAACUUAUCAGAGAAGACUUAUAAGAGGAUAUGAAAGGUGUAAAUUUUGAUACCACCAUUGCCGCCUUCCCCUCAAAAAAGGUGAGAACUGACUAAACUACUGGUACUUAGACCAUGUGGAGAAGGAACUGAAAAUGGAAACAGAAACACGUCUGUACAGAGCAGAGUGUCAGAUAAUAGCUCAUUUUAGUAGAGGGCAAUAAAUGCCACAUGAGAUGAUCACCUCAGCAGAAAACUGUAAGUAACUGGGGACUUACAGGAGAAUUGAACAGUUGUUUCUGCUGACUCAGUAAAAAGUCUUCAUUUUAUAAUUUGUGGCCUGCAUGCUUGUAAAUUAAAAUGCAUUGAGUUGUCAAGUAAUGGACUUGUCUGGUUUGUAGGUAGGAAUUUAAGCCAAAAUUGAAUGCAACAUUCCCCCAGAAGUAACCUGGGAUCUGUGCCAUAAAACCUAAGGCAAAGGUUACAUGAAUUUGUAUUACUAGGUUAGAACUAGGCUAUUGAGCCUUUGCCUAGAAAACCAAUUAGAGGAUUUUGGUCUUGAUAUAGCAGGGAAUAGGGAGGCAUUAUAGCCUAUUGAUUUGUUUGGAAUUAAAUGUGGCAAUACUAUAUAUAGAAAUGUCUAAGAAAUAAAAUAUGGUAGCAAGGAAACUGGGCAUGUGACUACUGUAGUAAUCUAGGGGUGAAGAAACCUGAACAGCAAUAGUGGCAGGAGAAUGGAGGUGAAAGAAUAAAUUUAAGAUAUUUCAAAGGAAAAAGUUGUUGAAUAUCAUGAUGGGUUGGAUAAAAGGGAGGUGUAAAAGAUUAUACAUUUUCUAUACUGGAAGACAAUGGAGUUACCAAUGAAAGAAAGGAGAUAGUUAAGAAACUAGUUUAAGGCCGGGUGCGAUGGCUCAUGCCUGUAAUCUUAACACUUUGGGAAGCAGAGGUGGGUGGAUCCCUUGAGGUCAGGAGUUCGAGACCAGCCUGGCAAACAUGGUGAAACCCCACCUCUACUAAAAAUACAAAAAUCAGUCAGACGUGGUGGCUCAUGCCUGUAAUCCCAGCUACUCAGGAGGCUGAGGCAGGAGAAUCGCUUGAACCUGGGCAGUGGAGGCUGCAGUGAGCCGAGAUCAUGCCACUGCACUCCAGCCUGGGUGACAGAGUGACUCUGUCAAAAAAAAAAGAAAAGAAACUAGUUUAAGAGGGGGAAAAUAUGUUCCAUUUCUGCAAUGUAUUUAAGGUGAUAUUUAGGCGUUCAGCUUGAAAUGUCUUCAUUUAAGGUGGCUGGAUAUACAGAACUGGAAUUCUAUGUAAAAGUCAGGCUGGAGAGGUAAAUUUGGCAGUUACAUAAGGCUGAUAAGGGUAGAAAAGCUGACUGAAGCUCUUUAUGAAGGACAGUCGGUCCCUUUCUUUUAGAAAAAAUAUGAACACACAUUUAUGUAAAUAAACUAUAUCAUUAGUAUGUAAUCUUAAACAUUUCUAGAAUUGAAUAAGAACUCUCCCUUUUUUCCUUAGAGUGUCAUAUCUCAAGCGUGUGCCUGUUAGAAAAUCCCUACGCUUAUAUCAAUUAUAAGAGUCAAUGACUGAAAUGUGUUAAUACUCUUAAACCUUACCUUCUCUCAAUAAAACCAAGAUCUUUCCCAGUAUUAGGCUAAGGGAAUGAAAUUGAGAACUUAAAGUCCAAAUAAUUCAGUCAGUUAAAACUUUAUAAAAUUGACCUGGCUUUAAUUUCUCAAAUGGAAAGCAAGUAAUUGAAUUGGGGGAAGUGUGCUAGUCUCCAGUUUCAAGAAACAGUACAGCACAAAGACCUGGCAUUCUAGCUGAAGAGCUGUAAUAAUAAACAGAAAUUUGAAAACCAGGAAGACAAGUUUUCCAAGAGUGCAACUGUGGCAUUUCAAAGGAGAUUUAACAAGAAAUUCCGGAAGAUGGCCAAAAAUAGGUUUAGAUAAUUGAGAUUCUUUAUUUGAAUACUUGUUUUUGAUGGAGAAACAUACUUAAGAGGAAAUGAAGGUUCUGUCUAAGGUCUGAAACUUUUUUUCACCCUAAAGCAGGUUUGCUUCUGAAGAAAACUAUUAGCAAAAAAAAAAAUCAAAUAGGAAUUCAGUGCUGCUUAGAUUGUAGGAGUUUAAAAAGUGACCAAUGCAACCAUUUUUAGAAAAUUAAUUGAAAGGAACUAUUUUUGUUUUCUAGGAGCAAAACCUUGUUUUCUAGGAUUCCUAUUUGUAAAGUUAAAGUAUCUCUCUGUUUACCCAGUUAUUACUUGCCAUGAAAAAAUAGCCUCCCAGCAUCAGACAGAAAUACAAUGUUACUCUACAUCUUUAAUUGUUUUUUAUUCCAGUCAUAAAGCAGCUUCUGAAAUUGAUUUUUAAUAUGGUCUAUUUUAAUGAUAUGUAAGGAAACCUAGAAUGUUAAUCUGCAUUUCAAAUUAGCCUUGUAAAACCUCAGUAAUAUGUCUUCUGGAUAUAUCAGGAUCUUUUGGACCAUUUUACCUUGAUUAUUGAACCAAUUGAUUAAUCCAAAUUCAGUAAACUUAAAAUGACCUCAAAUUGGGUUACCCAGAACUAGGAAUAUUUCUGUAUUCCAUCCUACUUACAUCUGAUUUACAUGCCUGGUCUGCUAACUUCUUUCUUUUCAUGACUCCUAAGUUAUGGAGGUAAGUGAAGAUUUACUAUCAAUUAUAGUCAUGUGACACUCAUUUUGAACUUACAUUCUCUUAGUUUUUUUAAUUUUAAGCAUGCUGGUAGCAUUACAUUGUUCUUAGCAAAUUAAGUAUAUCCCAAUUUUAACUGGACUAUUCUCUGCUUAAACAUAUAAUUUUGUGUAAUCUGCAACAAGUUUAUAUCCCCAUAUACAUCUAUAUUUUCAUCUCCUUUCCAUAUGGCAUUACCCAAAUAAACUUCUUUUUUUUCUUUAAUGGAGUCUCACUUCUUUGCCCAGGCUGGAGGGCAAUGGUGCAAUCUCAGCUUACUACAACCUCUGCCUCCCAGAUUCAAGCGAUUCUCCUGCCUCAGCCUCCCCAGUAGCUGAAAUUGCAGGUGCCUCCCACCAAACCUGGCUAAUUUUUGUAUUUUUAGUAGAGACGGGGUUUCACCAUGUUGGUCAGGUUGGUCUCGAACUCUUGACCUCAAGUGAUCCUCCCACCUCGGCCUCCCAAAGUGCUGGGAUUACAGGCGCGAGCCACUGCGCCUGGCCCCAAGUAAACUAAUUGAAAAUACUCUGGGGUAGUUUCUGUAAUCUGUAACUUGAGUCAACUCUUUCAGAUUGUAUUAUUUAAAUUAUCCUCUUCCAUCUUUGAAUCUACUAUAAAUCUUGUUUUUCCAAGCAUCUAUUCACUGAGACUAUAGUUUCCAAAUGUUUCAGUUCAGUUCACUUGAGCUUGUUAGAUGCCCAGCACUAUGGGGGAGUAUGACAUAGACCACUAUAGCAGUCUCAGUCCUCAUCUUAAAAGAACUCAUGGAACCUUAAACAUUGCAGCCAGAUUUCCUUGGAGGUCUCUUAUUACAGAAAGCGUAGACCAUGUGCAGUGGCACACGCCUGUAAUCCCAACACUUUGGGAGGGUGAGGUGGAAGGAUUGCUUGAGCCCAGAAGUUUAAGACCAGCCUGGGCAACAUAGUAAGACUUCAUCUUUACAAAAAAAAUUAAAAAUUAGCCAGGCAUGGUGGCAUGCACUUGCAGUCCCAGGUACUCAGGAGGCUGAGGCUAGAGGAUAGCUUGGGCUCUGGAUUUUGAGGUUACAGUGAGCCAUGGUAGCACCACUGCACUCUAGCUGGGUGACAGGGUGAAAUCCUGCUUAAAAAAAAAAAAAGGGUAAAACAAAUCUCUCCUAUUUGGCCUCAUACUCAUGAACCUGAAGAAAUUCACAUUCUUUCCAGAAGUGUUGUGAGAUGAUGAAGAAUAAUAUGAAAUGAAACACUUAUUUGGUAUGUUUUACCCUACUGAUAAAAAGCCAUUUGUUUAAUAAAAAGCCAUUUGCUUUAAUGAUUUCUGGAUUUUGAGGUGUUGGUGUGAAAUCUGAAGGUACAGAAGACUACCUACCUAAAAGCCUUGUGUGGUUAGGCAAGUCUUAAACACAUUUUAGUUUUGGGAGCAAGGUCCUAUUUAUUUUGCUACAUGUUUAGUUCUGUUUUUAUUCUGUGCCAUGCGUAAUAUCAUUUUCCAUUUUCACCCAUGUAAGAUUUUAGCUUUUUAUCCAUGAAAAUAUUUUUGUGAUUGGAUCUCAUAGUUUAGUUAAAUAUUAAGGUAUUUUCGAUGAUGAAGUGUUUUGAUAAAAUUUGUACUUUUCAUUUAUAAUAGGCCCAAAAGAAAUCCUUUUUUUUUUUUUUUUUUUUUUGAGACAGAGUCCCACUCUGUCACCUAGGCUGGAGUGCAAUGGCAUGAUCUCGGCGGAGGCUGCAACCUCCGCCUUCCAGACUCAAGCAGUUCUCCUGCCUCAGCCUUCCAAGUAACUGGGGACUACAGGCACGUGCCACCAUGCCCAGCCAAUUUUUGUAAUUUUUGGUGGAGACGGGGUUUCACCAUGUUGGCCAGGCUGGUCUCCUGACCUCAGGUGAUCCGCCUACCGCAGCCUCCCAGAGUGCUAGGAUUACAGACGUGAGCCACCUCACCCAGCCAGAAAUCCUAGUAAGUCUUGAGGUAUAUAGUUCUACAGCAAAGCCGGUAAUUGUGAUUUUUGGGGUUUUUUGUUGUUGAUGUUGUUUUUAAAUCAUAGACAGAUGGGGGUCUCACUGUUGCUCAGGCUGAUCUCGAACUCCUGGGCUCAAGGAUCCUUCCGCCUUGACCUCUCAAAAUGCUGGGAUUAUAACCACCAGGCCAGCCCAGUACUUACGUUUUUUACUAGGUCAUUGAUAUUCCAGAAAGCUAAGUAUUUUUAGUAAUUUUAAAAUGUCCUAUCUUUAUUUCUGAGCAUUUGUUUAAAAAUGCUAAGUCUGAUGCCACAUUGCUGUCUCCCAUGGGUCCUUUGGUUCCAGGAAGGUAAUACAAUUUCAUAAAUUUAUUUUUGAAGAUUUCCUCACGGUAGCUUCUACGUUGCUAAACUUGCCAUUACAGUCAACUUCCCUAGCACAGAGGAAAAAUAGCAGUAGAAUAUAAGAGAUUGAGUGCUCUUAGCAAAUCUUUUAUUACCCCAGCAUAGUCUCUAGUGGUGUAAUUCUCUAUUGAUGUGAACAUUUCUAUUACUUAUGAUAGAGAAUCAGUACAAAAGUUUAUAAAGCAAAGCUGAAGUUUGUCACUUGUAAAUGGUAUAAAGGACAAAUUAGAAACAGAUUUUGAUUUCCUAAACCAUGUAUUUCUCAAGCUGCUUUCUUGUGACCAUUUUAUACUACUUCAGGCUCCUGAUUUCAAAUACAUUUUUAAAGCACCUAAAUAGGCCAGGCAUAGUGGCUCACACCUGUAAUCCCAGCACUUUGGGAGACUGAGGCGGGCGGAUCACCUGAGGUCAGGAGUUCGAGGCCAGCCUAGGCAACAUGGUGAAACACCAUCUCUACCAAAAAUACAAAAAAUUAGGUGGGCGUGAUGGCACAUGCCUGUAGUCCCAGCUACUCAGGAGGCUGAGAUGGGAGGAUCGCUUGAGCCUGGGAGAUGGAGGUUGCAGUGAGCUGAAAUCGCACCACUGCACUCCAACCUGGGUAACAGAGUGAGACCCUGUCUCAAAAAAAAAAAAAAGCAGCCUAAAUUAAUCUUGACUUUACCAUACCCUAAGAACUCUUUGUAAUUACAACUUGUAUAUUAAAUCCAAGAGUAAAAUUAAGCAUUAGAGCUGUUUUUCAGAAAAGAUUUGUAGGGAGAACUUCUAAUCACUUAUAAGGUAAAUUAUUGAGGUUCAAGAAUCAUAAGCUAAAAUCUUGGUGCCUUGGCUAGGCAUGGUGGCUCACACUUGUAAUCCCAGUGCUCUGGGAGGCCAAAGUGGGAGAAUCACUUAAGGCCAGGAGUUCGAGACCAGCCUGGACAACAUGUGAGACCUCGUCUCUACAAAAAAUAAAAAACAAUUACCCUGGCAUGGUGGUAUGCGCCUGUAGUCCCAGCUACUUGGGAGACUGAGGUGGGAGGAUCACUUGAGCCCAAGAGUUUGAGGCUGCAUGAGUUAUGAUUACACCAGAAUUCACUACAGCUUCCAACUCCUGCACUCCAGCCUGGUGACAGAGUAUUAUAUAAAGAGUAUUAAAUAAAUAAAUAAAAUAUUUGGUGCCUUGUCAGAAAUGAAACUGUGAUUGAUAAAAACAU
rnacentral:lncRNA from 1 species